GCCCAUUCAGAGCAGUAGUUGGCUCGCUCGUCUCCGGUAUACUUCGGGAUAACGAGAAGCCGGGGGUUCGAAUCCCCUAAUGGGUG